GAUGAACGCUGGCGGCGUGCCUAAUACAUGCAAGUCGAGCGAACUUUUGGGAGCUUCCUCCCCAUAGUUAUCGCCGGACGCGUAAGUAACACGUGGGUAACCUGCCUUUAAGAUUGGGAGAACUUCUGGAAACCGGAGCUAAUCCCGGAUAACAUUGAACCCAACAUGGCCUUCAAUUAAAAGUUGGCUUUUAGCUACCACUUACAGAUGGACCCGCGGCGCAUUAGGUAGUUGGUGAGGUCACGGCUCACCAAGGCGACGAUGCGUAGCCGACCUGAGAGGGAGAUCCGGCAAACUGGGACUGAGACACGGGCCAGACUCCUACGGGAGGCAGCAGUAGGGGAAUAUCCGCAAAGGGCGGAAGUCCGGAGGAGGCACGCCGGGGGAGGGGAGGAGGGCUUUGGGUCGUUAAGGUCUGUUGUUAGGGAAGAACAAGUAUCGUGCGAAUAGGGCGGUGCCUUGACGGUACCUAAACAGAAAGCCACGGCUAACUACGUG
rnacentral:rRNA from 1 species